rnacentral:rRNA from 1 species
UACGUAGGGUGCGAGCGUUGUCCGGAAUUAUUGGGCGUAAAGGGCUCGUAGGCGGUUUGUCGCGUCGGGAGUGAAAUCCUACGGCUUAACUGUGGGCUUGCUUUCGAUACGGGCAGACUAGAGGUAUGCAGGGGAGAACGGAAUUCCUGGUGUAGCGGUGAAAUGCGCAGAUAUCAGGAGGAACACCGGUGGCGAAGGCGUUCUCUGGGCAUGAUCUGACGCUGAGGAGCGAAAGUGUGGGGAGCGAACAGG